AUGCUACUCUUCUCUCUCUUUCCUUUCUCAUUUUGUUAAGCUUCUGUUUGAGCAUCUGAUGUCCAAGAUUUAUUCUAUAGCAAGAAUUAUAUGUCCGAGGUUGUUGGUUAGUAUAUAAAUAAUAUUAUCCAUCCAAACAAUAUAUCAAUCCCACCCAUCAGGAAGUAAAAUACCAUAUGUAGAUCAUUUAUUACAAUUUUUAUAUAAUUUUUUUUAUUAUAGUAGCUCUUUUGGUAGUUAAAUAAAAUUAAUCC
rnacentral:lncRNA from 1 species